AACUGCGAAUGGCUCAUUAAAUCAGUUAUCGUUUAUUUGAUAGUACCCUACUACAUGGAUACCUGUGGUAAUUCUAGAGCUAAUACAUGCGCAAAACCCCGACUUCGGAAGGGGUGUAUUUAUUAGAUAAAAAACCAAUGCCCUUCGGGGCUCCUUGGUGAUUCAUAAUAACUUAACGAAUCGCAUGGCCUUGCGCCGGCGAUGGUUCAUUCAAAUUUCUGCCCUAUCAACUUUCGAUGGUAGGAUAGUGGCCUACCAUGGUGGCAACGGGUAACGGGGAAUUAGGGUUCGAUUCCGGAGAGGGAGCCUGAGAAACGGCUACCACAUCCAAGGAAGGCAGCAGGCGCGCAAAUUACCCAAUCCCGAUCCGGGGAGGUAGUGACAAUAAAUACUGAUAUAGGGCUCUUUUGGGUCUUAUAAUUGGAAUGAGUACAAUCUAAAUCCCUUAACGAGGAACAAUUGGAGGGCAAGUCUGGUGCCAGCAGCCGCGGUAAUUCCAGCUCCAAUAGCGUAUAUUAAAGUUGUUGCAGUUAAAAAGCUCGUAGUUGAACCUUGGGCCCGUCCUGCCGGUCCGCCUCACCGCGAGUACUGGUCCGGAUGGGCCUUUCUUUCUGGGGAAUCCCAUGGCCUUCACUGGCUGUGGCGGGGAACCAGGACUUUUACUGUGAAAAAAUUAGAGUGUUCAAAGCAGGCCUUUGCUCGGAUACAUUAGCAUGGAAUAAUAAAAUAGGACGUGCGGUUCUAUUUUGUUGGUUUCUAGGACCGCCGUAAUGAUUAAUAGGGAUAGUCGGGGGCGUCAGUAUUCAGCUGUCAGAGGUGAAAUUCUUGGAUUUGCUGAAGACUAACUACUGCGAAAGCAUUCGCCAAGGAUGUUUUCAUUAAUCAGGGAACGAAAGUUAGGGGAUCGAAGACGAUUUAAGAAGGAUUUAGGCUGCGUCCCCCCUGUGGGGUGGGCCUAAAUCGGUAUUUGGUCGUCAACAGUAAGCUCAAAGUGUCUUGCUAGUCUCCCUUUCGGGGGAGGCAACACCGUCAAACUGCGGGAACGUCCUAAAGCCGGAGCUACCAAGCUGGCAUUGAAAGGUGUCAGUGGCCGGGGUAAUGACCCAGGGUACGGUAACAACGCUCCGGAUGUGACAAUGGAUAACCUGCAACCAAGCGCUACCGCCGGUUGGCCAUGCGUGCAGUUCACAGACUAGAUGUCGGUGGGGGGUCUGCCCCUUAAGAUAUAGUCGAAGCCCAGCGUGAAAGCCUGGGAGUAGUUGCAGAUACCGUCGUAGUCUUAACCAUAAACUAUGCCGACUAGGGAUCGGGCGGUGUUUCUAUGAUGACCCGCUCGGCACCUUACGAGAAAUCAAAGUUU
rnacentral:rRNA from 1 species